AGAUGGAUCAUUCAAGCUUACCGGUGUAAUUUGACAUGCAUGUGGUCCAUUGCGACAACUAAAUGACAUGUGGUUCGAUUUUAGACAACACAAUGACAUGUGGUUUGAUUUGAGACAAUGCAAAGCUGUGGUGAAAAUUGAGACAACAUAAUGACAUGUGGUUUGAUUUGAGACAAUGCAAAGCUGUGGUGAAAAUUGAGACAACAUAAUGACAUGUGGUUUGAUUUGAGACAAUGCAAAGCUGUGGUGAAAAUUGAGACAACACAAUGACAUGUGGUUUGAUUUGAGACAAUGCAAAGCUGUGGUGAAAACUGAGACAACACAAUGACAUGUGGUUUGAUUUGAGACAAUGCAAGGCUGUGGUGAAAACUGAGACAACACAAUGACAUGUGGUUUGAUUUGAGACAAUGCAGAGCUGUGGUGAAAACUGAGACAACAUAAUGACAUGUGGUUUGAUUUGAGACAAUGCAAAGCUGUGGUGAAAAUUGAGACAACAUAAUGACAUGUGGUUCGAUUUGAGACAAUGCAAAGCUGUGGUGAAAACUGAGACAACACAAUGACAUGUGGUUUGAUUUGAGACAAUGCAAAGCUGUGGUGAAAAUUGAGACAACAUAAUGACAUGUGGUUCGAUUUGAGACAAUGCAAGGCUGUGGUGAAAACUGAGGCAACACAAUGACAUGUGGUUUGAUUUGAGACAAUGCAAAGCUGUGGUGAAAACUGAGACAACAUAAUGACAUGUGGUUUGAUUUGAGACAAUGCAAAGCUGUGGUGAGAACUGAGACAACACAAUGACAUGUGGUUUGAUUUGAGACAAUGCAAGGCUGUGGUGAAAACUGAGACAACACAAUGACAUGUGGUUUGAUUUGAGACAAUGCAAAGCUGUGGUGAAAACUGAGACAACACAAUGACAUGUGGUUUGAUUUGAGACAAUGCAAGGCUGUGGUGAAAACUGAGACAACACAAUGACAUGUGGUUUGAUUUGAGACAAUGCAAAGCUGUGGUGAAAACUGAGACAACACAAUGACAUGUGGUUUGAUUUGAGACAAUGUAAAGCUGUGGUGAAAACUGAGACAACACAAUGACAUGUGGUUUGAUUUGAGACAAUGCAAAGCUGUGGUGAAAACUGAGACAACACAAUGACAUGUGGUUUGAUUUGAGACAAUGUAAAGCUGUGGUGAAGACUGAAACAACAAAGUGACAAGUGGUUAUUAUCCUAAGCGAACAGAGAGUUUAACGGUACAAGUCAUGUAAAAAUCUGUCAGAGUGCAUGUGGUCGCAAAUCCUAAAUUUUAAGAGAUAAUUCCAUUUACGCCUCUCAGCGAUGGAUGUCUCGGAUCUCGUAACGAUGAAGAACGCAGCUAGCUGCGAGAUGCAGUGUGACAUGCGAACUUCUGUGAAUCAUUAGAUUUUUGAACGCAAAAGGUACUUCUAAAUUCUUUUUAGGAGUAUGUUCACUUCAGUGCUUUUAUAUAUUUGUUAACCUAAUUGGUGGUUAACGUGAAUAGUUACUGCGAUUGCGGUAACUGAAAGCUAAUAAUAAUGGUUUUUAGGUGACGCUUUGAAAACUGUUAUUGCAUUAUUAAUAAGCCUGAAUUUGAGCAAGUGUACCCGCUGAACUUAAGCAUAUUAUUAAGCGGAGGAAAAGAAACUAACUAGGAUUCCCCUAGUAACUGCGAGUGAACAGGGAAGAGCUCAAACUGGAAAUCGGCAGUUUUCUGUCGAAUUGUAGUCUCAUGAAAUGCAGCCUGUCAAUGUUGUGAAUUAAGUCUCUUGGAAAAGAGUACCAAAGAGGGUGAAAGUCCCGUCUUUAUUCACAACUAUUUACUUUCGGUGCAUUUUCAAAGAGUCGCGUUCUUUGAGAUUGGAGCGCUAAGUGGGUGAUAAACUUCAUCUAAAGCUAAAUACUAACGAGAUUCCGAUAGCGUACAAGUACCGUGAGGGAAAGUUGAAAAGAACUUUGAAAAGAGAGUUAAAAGGAACUGAAAUUGCUGAAAGGGAAGUGGAGAGAUUCAACGGUUUAGCGAAUCUUUUGCAUGCUUGGAUAUUGCAUCCUUCAGUGUGCAGUCGAGAUUUGCGGUGACUCUGGAGGCGAUUGUACAAGCAGAUUACAUUAUUGAUAGGUUCUAUAAGUAGGGCCAUGUCUUUAAUGUCUUCAGUCUGUGUGAUCUAUGUAAUUCUAACUCAGCAUUAAUUGUCGAGUUAUACUCUUCCAGACAUGUUGAUUCUCUCCUCCCCGUCUUGAAACACGGACCAAGGAGUCUACUUUAUGUGCAAGUACAAGGGUGGAAAACCUAUGUGCGAAAUGAAAGUAAUAGUUAGGAUGGUUAUUCCUGCACUGACACUCGGCCACUGAGUCGAAGUUGAGCACAUAGAAUAGGACCCGAAAGAUGGUGAACUAUGCCUGUGUAGGAUGAAGCUAGAGGAAACUCUGGUGGAAGUUCGUAGCGAUACUGACGUGCAAAUCGUUCGUCAAACAUGGGUAUAGGGGCGAAAGACCAAUCGAACCAUCGAGUAGCUGGUUCAACC
rnacentral:misc_RNA from 1 species